rnacentral:rRNA from 1 species
CCUACGGGAGGCAGCAGUAAGGAAUAUUGGUCAAUGGACGAAAGUCUGAACCAGCCAUGCCGCGUGAAGGAUUAAGGCCCUCUGGGUUGUAAACUUCUUUUAUCUGGGACGAAAAAAGGGUAUUCUUACUCACUUGACGGUACCAGAGGAAUAAGCACCGGCUAACUCCGUGCCAGCAGCCGCGGUAAUACGGAGGGUGCAAGCGUUAUCCGGAUUUACUGGGUUUAAAGGGUGCGUAGGUGGGCUUGUAAGUCAGUGGUGAAAUCUCCGGGCUUAACCCGGAAACUGCCAUUGAUACUAUAGGUCUUGAAUUAUCUGGAGGUAAGCGGAAUAUGUCAUGUAGCGGUGAGAUGCUUAGAUAUGACAUAGAACACCAAUUGCGAAGGCAGCUUACUACGGGAUAUAUUGACACUGAGGCACGAAAGCGUGGGGAUCAAACAGGAUUAGAUACCCUGGUAGUCCACGACCUAACGAUAGAUACUACGAC